UCACCUAGCUCAGUCAGUAGGGCAUGAGAUUCUUAAUCUCAGGGUUGUGGGUUCAAGCCCCACAUCGGGCAAAA